AAUGAACGCUGGCGGCGUGCUUAACACAUGCAAGUCGAACGGUAAGGCCCUUCGGGGUACACGAGUGGCGAACGGGUGAGUAACACGUGGGUGAUCUGCCCUGCACUUCGGGAUAAGCCUGGGAAACUGGGUCUAAUACCGGAUAGGACCACUGCCUGCAUGGGUGGUGGUGGAAAGCUUUUGCGGUGUGGGAUGGGCCCGCGGCCUAUCAGCUUGUUGGUGGGGUGAUGGCCUACCAAGGCGACGACGGGUAGCCGGCCUGAGAGGGUGACCGGCCACACUGGGACUGAGAAACGGCCCAGACUCCUACGGGAGGCAGCAGUGGGGAAUAUUGCACAAUGGGCGCAAGCCUGAUGCAGCGACGCCGCGUGAGGGAUGACGGCCUUCGGGUUGUAAACCUCUUUCAGCACCGACGAAGCGCAAGUGACGGUAGGUGCAGAAGAAGGACCGGCCAACUACGUGCCAGCCGCCGCAGUAA
rnacentral:rRNA from 1 species